UGAGAUUGGAAUGCGAGACCUCAUCAAGUAUUGAUAUGUUAAGAAGAAAGAGUUCCAACUGAUAUUGUUCAUAAAGCAGUCAUGGUAGAAUGGAGAUCAAUGACCGUCACAAGCUGGAGAUCAACAUGGUCUUAGGAGUCAAUGAGAUGAGCAGCAGCAGCUACACGCUCCCUGUCCAUCACAUGACACAUCCACCAACAAACCAGUGUCGUUUCCUCGUCUGAGUUGACUGUAGAGAGUGUUUGCUGUGCGGAUCGGACCCACAGUGUCUAAGAUGAAGACCCGCUGCAGCCUCUUCAGCAUCACCAGGAUUCAGUGUCCACCAGACAUGUGAGCUUAGACAUAUCCUGAUGCCAGAAGAAAUGAUGAUAUUGAAGAAACCAUACACAAGCCACGAGAGAUAGAUUCUGUUAUUCUGUGUGAAUAUUUUCUUCUAAUUGGAGACACUAGAGACGUUAUCGAGAUAUUGUCUCACGACAGACUGAAAUCUUGCAUACUAGUAAAUCCAAAUAAAAUAGAUAAGACUUUGCAGGUUAUGAUUUAGAUUUUGGUUAUCCAUAUGCCAAUAUUUGCCCGUCUAGUUUUCACUUUGUCAUUACUUAAAACAAAGUAACCUGUUCAUUACCAAAAAAUGCAACCCAACGAUCAAAGGAUAGAUGUGGGUGGGAAAAUUUGAAUAACAAAUAAUAAUAUGCCACUGUAACCUAA